rnacentral:lncRNA from 1 species
AAACAACACUUUUCAGUGUAUACGUUUGGGUAUGCUUCUUUAAAAUCAGUAAACUUUGAAUCACUUUAUUUUAUUGAGAUGUCAACAUGUAAUUGAAUGUGCUAGGGAGAACUCACCUGACACUUUUCUAAGUGCUUUCUUUCUGAGUCUCUGUUCAGCUGGCAAUCCCCCACUUUAUUAUGUGAUCUCCCCCCACAUGUUUUUCUGGGCCAGGAGGAGAACAUCACGGUGCAGGGCAAACACAGGGGCUGGGAUUUAUGCAAAGACAGUGGAUAACACCAACCUAUCUCUUCUCUUUCUUGAAAUCUCAUUGUAAAAUACAGAAAAUGGUCUUCUGAGAGAUAGAGACUCACAAUCAUUGUUUUUAAGAAGAAGACAGGAAAGAGCAGCAGUGAGGUUCUGGGGCUAAGCAGAGAGCUUCUCAGUGCUGGGGCACGGCACGUUGCUCAGAUCAGCUUUCCCUGUGAGAGUAACAGAACGCGGAAGGAACUCUAAGAAGCCUAUUUAAAAAUGACUGACUAGCGGAUGUGAUAGAGAGCGAUUAUCAGGGUAGACUAUAAGCCUGUAACACAGAGGGUGUGGCCAAGCACAGCCCAGCUUUUGUCCCAAGGAUGCCAGCUAAACCAAGGAAAGGUGAACUGGAAUUUCAGGAUCUCUUAAAGUUUGGAGACAUGGGAAAGUGGGGGCUUCAACAGGAAGUCCUCCUCUCCUAAAGCCAGGAUCAGAAAAGGCCACACUCUCAGCAGAAGAGUAAAACCCCACCCUGAAACACAGAAUGGAUCCACGUGCUCCAGAUAAAAGGGAAGGUCGAAAAGCUAACAGAGUUCGGAUACAAAACAGAACAAAGACGAAACAAAAAGCUGCAGCCGAACCCUACCUGCUGCUCCAUGUUGAAAUCUGCCUCCUCAAGUCAGGAGCGAGACGAGAAGGAACACCCAAGACUCCGACAUCAGCAUCAGCUGCAGGGGCUCCCGGAAGGACAAGCCUGUCCCUGGAUGCUCAUAAGCAGAGUGGCUACAGUGCAGCAAGGAAACCUUCCAGCAAACACUGCACUUGGCACAGCCGCAGGCCACAUCCCUGCCCACCAGGACCUCUCUGUGAUAAGGGCCAACGAUGUUUCCAUUCCUGUUCAUGA